rnacentral:rRNA from 1 species
UACGGGGGGGGCAAGCGUUGUUCGGAAUUACUAGGCGUAAAGGGCAGGUAGGCGGUUUGAUAAGUCUGUUGUGGAAGCUCCCGGCUUAACUGGGAGAGGUCAACGGAAACUAUCAGGCUUGAGUGUAGGAGAGGGUACUGGAAUUCCCGGUGUAGCGGUGAAAUGCGCAGAGAUCGGGAGGAACACCAACGGCGAAAGCAGGUACCUGGACUAUUACUGACGCUCAGCUGCGAAAGCUAGGGGAGCAAACAGG